rnacentral:tRNA from 4 species
GGGCCUGUGGCGGAACCGGCAGACGCGGCGGACUUAAAAUCCGCUUCCCCGCAAGGGGAGUGUGGGUUCGACUCCCACCUGGCCCG